rnacentral:lncRNA from 1 species
AUGGGCUAUGUUGAUUGCUCCCUUAAGUGCCCAUCAAGGACUACCAAUGGUCGACCCAACUUUGCAUGCGUUCUCUGGAAACGUCAGAAUCAGUUAUUGCUGCAUGCUAUUAUUGCAUGUGUCUGGGCAAAUUGUUUCCUUUAUUGCUAUUGCAAAGACUUCCCAAGAAGCUUGGGACAAACUCAUCAAUUUAUAUGCAAAUCGAGCUAGCUCUCGUAUCAUGAGCCUCAGGGAAUGGCCCAUGCUUACUCAUCAUGAAACCAAAUAUAUAACUGAAUUUUUGAAAAUCAUUAAAUCGAUUGCUAAUGAACUGGCUCUUAUUGAUGCACCCAUCUAUGUUGAUGAUCUUGUGAUUCAUAUUCUCAAUGGUGUAGGUCUUGAAUUCAAGGACAUGGUUGCUGCCAUUCGCGCUCAUGAAAACUCCAUAUCCUUUGAAGAAUUGCAUGACAAGCUUGUUAAAA